UACGUAGGGACCAAGCGUUGUUCGGAUUUACUGGGCGUAAAGGGCGCGUAGGCGGCGUGUUAAGUCAGUUGUGAAAUCUCCAAGCUUAACUUGGAACGGUCAACUGAUACUGAUGUGCUAGAGUGCAGAAGGGGCAACCGGAAUUCUUGGUGUAGCGGUGAAAUGCGUAGAUAUCUGGAGGAACACCGGUGGCGAAGGCGGCUUCCUGGACCAAUACUGACGAUCAGGUGCGAAAGCGUGGGGAGCAAACAGG
rnacentral:rRNA from 1 species